rnacentral:rRNA from 2 species
UUUAAAGAGAGUUUGAUCCUGGCUCAGGACGAACGCUGGCGGCGUGCCUAAUACAUGCAAGUCGAACGAACGGAGGAAGAGCUUGCUCUUCCAAAGUUAGUGGCGGACGGGUGAGUAACACGUGGGCAACCUGCCUGUAAGUUGGGGAUAACUCCGGGAAACCGGGGCUAAUACCGAAUGAUAAAGUGUG